rnacentral:rRNA from 1 species
CCUACGGGUGGCAGCAGUGGGGAAUAUUGGACAAUGGGCGAAAGCCUGAUCCAGCCAUGCCGCGUGUGUGAAGAAGGCCUUCGGGUUGUAAAGCACUUUCAGUGGGGAAGAAAGCCUUGGGGCUAAUACCCUCGAGGAAGGACAUCACCCACAGAAGAAGCACCGGCUAACUCCGUGCCAGCAGCCGCGGUAAUACGGAGGGUGCGAGCGUUAAUCGGAAUUACUGGGCGUAAAGCGCGCGUAGGCGGUCUGAUAAGCCGGUUGUGAAAGCCCCGGGCUCAACCUGGGAACGGCAUCCGGAAAUGUCAGGAUAGAGUGCAGGAGAGGAAGGUAGAAUUCCCGGUGUAGCGGUGAAAUGCGUAGAGAUCGGGAGGAAUACCAGUGGCGAAGGCGGCCUUCUGGACUGACACUGACGCUGAGGUGCGAAAGCGUGGGUAGCAAACAGGAUUAGAUACCCGAGUAGUC